UCCACUUCAUUUUCUAUUUCAAGAAUCAAUGUUCAUCUUUGGAAGAGUGCAAAACGUUGCUAUCAAUUCUUAUGCACUUUGAAUAAGCAAAUUGAUAGAAGUUGCUUACGGUUGUAGCUCAUCUGGAGCCCUCGGCUAAGCGCCAUUUUUUUUGAAAGAAAGAUUAUAAUUUACAGCAAGAAUUUUAAGAGGUCAAGCUUGCUAGUAAGGUUUUUCUUCCAGUUGUUGAGACCUGCGAGCUCGAGAAGUAGACGUUGGACAUUAGAUAGAGUUCAAGGUAGACAGGGAGGUGAGCUUGAUUCAGAUUCUUAGUAGCUGUCAGCUGAUUGAGAGCACUCCAUUGUUCGGUGGUGCUUAUGUUUAUUCCUUUGGUUCCUUUAUGUAUUUCGCGCACGACAGAGUCUUGUUCCGUCUAUAUGUAUAAUAUGUCAGUAGAGGCUCGUAGACGCGCAGUGUGGGUUAGAUGGUCUCACAAGAUUACUAUGUUAUAUUUGUAUAUGUUAUUUUGAUAGCCUAAGGGGCACGUGCAUAUAAAAUUAUUUGUGUUUUCAAACGAAAAAUGGUUGUCUUAUGAUUAUGAGAUUAUGAA